UUUAGGUUUUAACUCAACGUGGUUGCCAGGAUGAACAAGCUGCUGUUGGUGGUGCUGGUGAUUGUGUUCGUUACCAUGGCGACAGUUGAAGGUCAAAGAAACAAUCGCCUGGGAAACAGCCUGAUAACAAACAAUCUACUUAACACUGUAAACAACGUAUUCAACGAUCUAAACAACCGAAACAAUGGAUUCAACAAUCUACUUAACACUGGAAACAACGUACUCAACAAUCUAAACAACCGAAACAAUGGAUUCAACAAUCUAAACAACUGGAACAAUGGAUUCAACAAUCUAAACAACCGAAACAAUGGAUUCAACAAUCUAAACAACUGGAACAAUGGAUUCAACAAUCUAAACAACCGAAACAAUGGAUUCAACAAUCUAAACAACUGGAACAAUGGAUUCAACAAUCUAAACAACCGAAACAAUGGAUUCAACAAUCUAAACAACUGGAACAAUGGAUUCAACAAUCUAAACAAUCGGAACAAUGUAUUCAAUAAUCUAAACAACCGAAACAAUAGAUUCAUCAAUCUAAACAACCUGAACAACCGUCUCGGGAAUAACCGACGAGGUUGAUGACGGAAAGAUCAUCAUGCAUUAAGCGCUGUCGCCAAAGAGCUGGUUUUAGGACGUACUGUAUGUUCUUUGGUAUUUGCACGAGGAGACCACCGUAUUUUUCGACAAAGCUGAUACAAAUGAAAGUUUUAAAUAUACAAUUUAUUAAUUGCUAACAAGCCUUCUCAUUUUUAAUUUGUUGAUUAUUAAGACAAUAAGAGGAUGGAAUCAAUACCAAAACUAUUGUUGAUUAACUGUUGAUUAAUCCGAGACAAAAAUGACUUAUACAUCAAUUAAUCAUGACGAAAUGUGUGUAUUUUACCUUAGAUCUAUCAAGAUAUUUAUCUUUGGUAUAACUAUUUAUUGAUAUUAUUUUAAGGACUCGCAAUGUGCGCUUAUUCUAGUUGCUACAUGUGACAGCAUAAAUGAUUAUAACUUACAAAGUGUUGUUAAAACAUACCCACAUAAGAUUAUUUCAAUAUAUCUUGUUAAAUACGUCUU